UUCCAGAAGCCAACUUUUCUUCUAUGAUCCUUUCCCAAAGCAUCUGUAUCCUUUCCACUUCUCAUUAAAGAAGCUGCUGAGAGCCAGAGCGGGAUGAGCCUCCUGCCGUGACACCUAGAUCCUCCCAAAAGUGACUUCUAGGCAGUGGCUGCCACCGUGCAAGAAUUAAAGGCACUGUGCUGGGCAUGAAGAGAAGAAAAGAGGGAAGACUUUUGAGGCAGUAGAAGGCACACGUGCAAAUGUCCUGUAGCAUCAUGGAAGACCAUGUGUAAGAGGAAGAGGCUGGAGCCCAGAAGGGAAGAGGAAUGAGAUAGGCUGACCCAGGAGGAAAGAUUGCAAGGAACAGGAGAUCCCAACACAGGCUUCUGAAAAAUUGGGAAAAGCAUCCAAGAAGAGCACAAAAAUGAGUAAUGAGCACAAAACCACUUUUGGUGAAUACAGAAAAGUAUUAGUUUAUUCCAAGAAACAAGACACAUUUCAUCCAAUUAUUGGAAAAUAAAUGGCAAGAAAUAUCACAUACCAAGAAAGUCCCUGUAUUUAUGUGGAAAAGUACAAAAGCAUUGAUUCAGGAACUAAUUUGAACAAUCCGGGGUUAGUCACAUUGAUUCCCACCUGUUGCUGCAAUUUGAAAUGAAGCCAAAUGCUAGAGGACAAUGACAUCUGUUUUACAGGCUCUUAUAUGCCACUAGGAGGGAGGGAGCCACAAGGACACACCACAUUGAAGAAGGAAUUAUGAACUCUGAUGAAAGGGCCUUUGCAAGUUAAAUCUCAGCAUCCAGCUCUCCCCCUUUUCCCCAGACAGUGUUACUAGAGACCAGUGAACAGUGGGGUCUGAACAAGUCUUCAUUGUGUGUGACCGUCCAUGCUUGUAGGGCCUUUGGAAGCUUUGCACCACUCCCGCUAAUUGCUUGCAGUACUUCCAUCAUGAUGUCAAUCCCAAAUACCAGCAACACAUUUGAAAACAGCCCUCAUGGUAUGUAUGGGUGUGUCCUGCUCAGAUAGAGGGCUGUGGCUAGGAAAGUCAGUUUCCUUUUCGGUAAAUUGAAAGAAUGAUAGGUUCUUGUGCUACACAUUUCUGCUGAGCAUCUUCAUGAAGGCUGCAGUGUCUUAGGGGUCCAACAAAAAAAUGACCUUGGGUUGUAGCAUCCUUCCUGCUGCACCCUGUGUGGUCAUUCAGUGUCACUUCUGUGGUGGAUGCAGCUGGUUCUUUCCUAGUGGAUUUUGUUUUAUAGAAGGAUCUUUGGUCCUGUGACUGAAAGGUGAGUUGGGGGUGAGAGUGGGGAAGGGAGACAGGAGGAGGGAAAGCCAAAUUACUCUCACUGUACUGCAGGGAAGUCCAGAUGGUGUCCUUGUCCUAAGCUUCCAAAAUAUACUCUGGGAGGGAAACAGAGACAGCAUUUUGCUGACAGCACUUGGGAACAGGCAUGUGGGCAGUCUAUAUUAAGACUUCAGUAUCCAUUCCAAGUGUAUCUCUGUAUGCGAGAGCACUGUGGCUUUACUUGGAAACCACUGGUCCCAAUCUCUGGAGCAGAUUUCAUUUUUCAUUCUUUCCUCCCUAUCCUUGUAACCCAGGCCCAGCCAGUCAGCAAAGGGUUUUCCCCCAAAUAACAUGGCUCCCUUUAGGACCUCUGUCUUUUGCCAGGGUAAAGGCUGUUUCCAGUAGAACUAGGUCAGCUAGAGGGGAAGGUCUUCACCCCUUGGGUAUUCAGAGUCGGAGGCAUUCCCAAGGGUGAGUGGGGACAGUGUGAUUCCCAUCCACAGAGUGGUGGCACCCAUGCCAUACCAGCUACUAUACCAGGGAGGGGCAAUUUCAAGAUGGAGACUCAGUCUUGGCCUCAAGCAGUUUUCAGUCCAGGGAGAGAAAACCAGCUCUUGCAGGCAGAGUUUUAUAAUUUACAAUGUGUCUGCCUGCCCACUUCCUUUCUGAACCCAAACUAUAGCCCUUCUGUGAAUUAGUCCAGGGUACUUUGAAACUUUCAGACAGGAGGAACUGAAAUAUCACAUACCAAGGACUCAAAGUCACUUAGUUGUUUAUCAACAUAUCUAGACUUGAAUCCGGUUCUCUGAUUCCCAACCACAGUUUAUUUUCCAUCUGUAGUCUUGGUCAAGCUGCUGAUAUUGUCUGGUGUACCCCCGAUAUAGUUUGGCUGUGUCCCCACCCAAAUCUCAUCUUGAAUUGUAGCUCCCAUAAUUCCCACAUGUUGUGGGAGGGAUCUGGUGGGAGUUAAUUGAAUCAUGGGGGUAGUUUCUCCCAUACCGUUCUCAUGAUGGUGAAUAAGUCUCAUGAGUUCUGAUUUUAUCAGGGGAAAACCCUUUCACUUGGUUCUCAUGUUCUCUCUUUGCCAGCUGCCAUGUAAGAUGUCCCUUCAGCCUUCCUUCGCCUUCCACCAUGAUUGUGAGGCCUCCCUAGCAAUGUGGAACUCACACAGCCUGUUGCCCCUGGUUGCCUUAAAUAAACAGAACCAUCUCCAGAAAGCUGUGCAUUCCUUUGUAAGAGAUAAUUUCUGAAGAGGCAAGGAGGUAAGAAAGCGUAGUUUUGCAGAGGACAUUGCCCAUGGAGGUGCUUGGUGGAGGGAAAACCACAGUCCCCCAAACUGCCAUGAGGUUUGGAGGAGUAAUUAGCAUAAUUGUCAUUAUUCUGUGGCCUGAGCAAUGUGAAUGGGAUCCAUGCCCUUUAAAAUUACCAAUUAGCAGCUGGGCAUAGUGGCUCAUGUCUGUAAUCCUAGCACUUCAGGAGGCUGAGGCUGGUGGAUCACCUAAGGUCAGGAGUUCAAGAACAACCCGGCCAAACCCUAUCUCUACUAAAAAUACAAAAAUUAGCCAGGUGUGGUGGCACACACCUGCAGUCCCAGCUACUUAGGAGGCUGAGGUUGCAGUGAGUUGAGAUCAUGCCACUGCACUCCAGCCUUGGUGACAGAGCGAGACUCUGCCUCAAAAAAACAAAAAUUAGUCAGGUGUGGGGGCAGGCAUCUGUGGCAGGAGAAUUGCUUGAACCCUGGGGGUGGAGGUUGCAGUGAGCCGAGAUUGCACCACUGUACUCCAGCCUGGGUGAAGAGCAAAACUGCAUCUCACACAGACAAAAAAAAACCUUCUAAUUCUCUGAAUCAGUGGUUCUAUUAGGUUCUAUUAGCAAUUACUUUUAUACUAACCUAAUAAAAUUUUCUCUUACUUGGACACAUGCAAGAGAGUGAGAGACACUCCCAUGGAAAUACUCUGCUUUUGAGAAGGAUCUACACAUAUCUUAUAGGGGCAUGAAGUGGUGUGAUGCUUGCAAUGUCCUGAGUAUUAAUCAUAAGUCAGCAAUGGCUGGUUAUUGGGAGUCUUGGCACAAAUAAGAUUGGCUAGUGCUACUUAAAGCGGAGUCUGUGAACAUGUGUGUACAAGUUUUAGUUCGAGUAGCUGUUUUCAGUUCUUUUGGGUAUAUACCUAGGACUGGGAUGCUGGGUUAUAUGAUAAGUUUAUGUUCAACUUUUUGAGGAACCACCAAAUUGUUUUCCUAUAUUUUAAAAUUGAGGACUUAUGAGUGCCAGGCCCUGAGUUGAAGAAUUCACAAGAUAGUGUACUUGCAGAGUGAACAUCUAGAGGCAGGAGGAGACCAGAGGGCUGGAGUAGUUCAAGUCAUCUUUGGGAAUCUGUCACAGUUGUCCCUCUUGCUCUUAUUUUUCCUUCCUACGCCACUCUGAUUGUCUGCUAUGAGUGGCAUCACCUAAGAGCAUAUUAGACCUGCAGAAUCUGGCACGCUGCCCAGACCUACUGCACCAGGAUUUCUGGGGGUGAGGUCCAGGAAUCUGUUAUUAAGAAGCCUUCUAGGUGGUUCUGAUGAUUACUCAAGAUUGAGAAGCUCGGAGAUAGAUGUAGGUGCAGUGUUAUCCUUGUUGCUCUCACAUCAGAAACACUAUUGGCUGCAAAGUGAGCGACAGAUACUGCUUUAGAGAUAGCGUUGAAUCUGCUCUAAUUUAAAGACAGUGAAUCAUAUGCAACACUUCCUAUUUUUAGCAAGUUAUGUGCAUCCACUUCACUUACAACUAACUGUAAAACCCUAUCAUUUCCAGGCAGAGUCACCUCAGUUCCAUGUCAUGCCAGGGGCUCUUAAUUUGUCACAGCAGAAAUAAUCCAGUGUCAUGUUAGUAAUACUGAGACUGUGCUCUUCUUUGCCACCCAGGCCAGCCUGCAUGUGUGAUGAUGGGUCUACCACAGAGUUCACAGCCACAGAGUGCCAACAGCAGCCUCGAUUUGAUAUUUGGGGUUUGUUUUAAGCCUUCCCUGUUUCUGCUGUCAAGAAGUGGCAAUGUAGUAGGGUGUUGAAAGAGCAUACAUUUUGGUGUCAAAUAGACCAGGGUUCAAAUUCCAAUUCUGCUACUUGAGCCUGCAAAAUGGGUUAAUAAUAUCUAUUAUGUAGAAUACUAUUUGUUCAAUAAAUGGUUGUGAUAUGGUUUGGGUCUCUGUCACCACCCAAAUCUCAUGUUCAACUGUGAUACCGAGUGUUGGAGGUCACUGGAUCAUGUGGGCAGAGUUCUCAUGAUGGCUUAGCACCAUCCACUGGGGGCUGUUCUUUUGAUACUAUCUUGUUGUUUAAAAGUGUGUAGUACCUCCUCCCUUGUGCUCUUCUUCCUGCUCCAGCCAUAUGAAGACACCUGCUCCUGCUUUGUCUUCUGCUAUGAUUCUAAGUUCCCUGAGGCCCCUCUAGAAGCAAAUGCUAGCAUGCUUCCUGUAAAGCCUGCAGAACCAUGAGCCAAUGAAACCUCUUUUCUUGUAAUGUACCCAGUCCCAGGCAUUUCUUUGUAGCAAUGUGAGAAUGAACUAAUAUAAGUGGUUAUUACUGUAAUUAAUUAUCGCUGAAUUAAAAAAUAUGUGCAUAGAAAGAGGGAGACAGGGUGGAGCGAGAGAGUACUGUCACAAAUUCCUAAAGACUUCUUCGCUACUUUGGCCCUCUGUCUCCUCUUGGCUCUAGAUGUUGUCAUCCCAGUGCACUAGUUUGUGAACUCUUCAACUCAGUGCUUGGUACAGGUUAAGUGCUCAGUUAAAAAAUGUGGAAAACAAUCUGGUAGGUGCCUCAAAAAGUUAAACAUAUAAUUACUGUAUAACCCAGUAAUGCCAAUCCUAGGUGUAUACCCCUGAUACCACCAAAUGAAAAUAGGUACCCAAACUGAAAACUGUACACCCAUGUUUAUAGCAGCAUUGUUCACAAUAGCCAAAAGGUAGAAACAACCCCAAUGUCCAUCAAUGAAUGAAUGGACAAAUCGUGGUAUACCCAUGAAAUGGAGUAUUAUCCUGCCAUGAAAAGGAAGAAAUUAUGAUACAUGCUACAAUAUGGAUGAACCUUGGAAACAUGCUAUGUGAAAGAAACCAGACAAAAAAGUGCCCACAUAAUGUAUAAUAAUAUAAAAACUCUAGAACAGGUAAAUCUAUAGAGACAGGUUGCCAGAAGCUAAGGAAGGGAGAAAUGGGAGUGACUUUAAUAGAUAAUGGAGUUUCCUUUUGGAGUGAUGAAAUAUUUUGGAACUAGAUAAAGGUGGUUGCACAACAUAAUGACUGCUAAGUGCCAUUACAUUUUUCACUUUAAAAUGGUUACUAAAAUAACUCCAGAUGGAUUAAAGACUUAAGCAUAAGACCUAACACCGUAAAAACCCUAGAAGAAAAUCUAGGCAAAACCUUUCAGGAUAUAGGCAUAGGCAAGGACUUCAUGACUAGAACACCAAAAACAUUGGCAACAAAAGCCAAAAUAGACAAAUGGGACCUAAUUAAACUACAGAGCUUCUGCACAGCAAAAGGAACAAUCAUCAGAGUGAACUGACAACCAAUAGAAUGGGAAAAAUUUUUUGCAAUCUACCCAUCUGACAAAGGGCCAAUAUCCAGAAUCUACAAAGAACUAAAACAGAUUUACAAGAAAAAAGCCCAUUCAAAGGAUAUGAACAGACACGUUUCAAAAGAAGACAUACAUGAGGCCAAUAAACAUAGGAAAAAUGUUCAUCAGCACUAGUCAUUAGGGAAAUGCAAAUCAAAACCACAUUGAGAUACCAUCUCACGCCAGCUAGAAUGGCGAUCAUUAAAAAAUCUGGAGACAACAGAUGCUGGAGAGGAUCUGGAGAAAUAGGAACACUUUUACACUGUUGUUGGGAGUGUAAAUUAGUUUAACCAUUGUGGAAGACAGUGUGGGGAUUCCUCAAGGGCCUAGAAAUAGAAAUUCCAUUUGACCCAGCAAUCCCAUUACUGGGUAUAUAUUCAAGGGAUUAUAAAUCGUUCUAUCAUAAGUACAAAGGCACACGAAUGUUCACUGAAGUACUGUUUACAAAGCAAGGACUUGGAACCAACCCAAAUGCCCAUUGAUGAUAGACUGGACAGGAAAAAUAUGGCACAUAUGUACCAUGGAGUACUAUGCAGCCAUAAAAAACGAUGAGUUUGUGUCCUUUAUAGGGACAUGGAUGAACCUGGAAACCAUCAUUCUCAGCAAACUGACACAAGAACAGAAAAUCAAACACUGCAUUUUCUCACUCAUAGGUGGGUGUUGAACAAUGAGAACACAUGGACAUAGGGAUGGGAGCAUCACACACUGAGGUCUGUGGUGGGGAAUUAGGGGAGGGAAAACAUAGGGAAAAAUGCCAGAUAUAGGUGAUGGGGAGGAAGGCAGCAAACCACGUUGCCAUGUAUGUACCUAUACAACAAUCUUGCAUGUUCUUCACAUGUACCCCAGAACCUAAAGUGCAAUAAAAUAUAUGUAUAAAAAAUGGUUAUUUUUAUGCUAUUAAAAUGAAAAAACGAAAAAUAUAUAUGUAUAUUUGUUUACAGAACAAUAAAAGAUGAAAGGCUG